ACUCCUACGGGAGGCAGCAGUGGGGAAUAUUGCAGCAAUGGCGCAAGCCUGAUGCAGCCAUGCCGCGUGUGUGAAGAAGGCCUUCGGGUUGGUAAAGCACUUUCAGCGUGAGGAAGGUAGUGUAGUUAAUAGCUGCAUUAUUUGACGUUAGCGACAGAAGAAGCACCGGCUAACUCCGUGCCAGCAGCCGCGGUAAUACGGAGGGUGCGAGCGUUAAUCGGAAUUACUGGGCGUAAAGCNCAUGCAGGUGGUUUGUUAAGUCAGAUGUGAAAAGCCCGGGGCUCAACCUCGG
rnacentral:rRNA from 1 species